AGAGUUUGAUCAUGGCUCAGAACGUACGCUGGCGGCACGCUUAACACAUGCAAGUCGAACGAAGUAGCAAUACUUAGUGGCAGACGGGUGAGUAUAAUGUGGGAAUCUGCCUUUUGGUUUAGAAUAACUCGGGGAAACUUGAGCUAAUACUGGAUAAGCCCUUACGGGGAAAGCUUUAUGCGCCAAAAGAUGAGCCCGCACUUGAUUAGCUUGUUGGUGAGGUAAAAGCUCACCAAGGCAACGAUCAAUAGCUGUUCUUAGAGGAAGACAAGCCACAUUGGGACUGAGACACGGCCCAGACUCCUACGGGAGGCAGCAGUGGGGAAUCUUGCACAAUGGGGGAAACCCUGAUGCAGCGAUGCCGCGUGAGUGAAGAAGGCCUUUGGGUUGUAAAACUCUUUCGUCGGGGAAGAAAAUGACUGUACCCGAAUAAGAAGGUCCGGCUAACUUCGUGCCAGCAGCCGCGGUAAUACGAAGGGACCUAGCGUAGUUCGGAAUUACUGGGCUUAAAGAGCUCGUAGGUGGUUAAAGAAGUUGGUGGUGAAAUCCCAAGGCUUAACCUUGGAACUGCCAUCAAACUUUUUAGCUAGAGUAUGAUAGAGGAAAGUGGAAUUUCUAGUGUAGAGGUGAAAUUCGUA
rnacentral:rRNA from 1 species